AAAGAGAGAUUAACACCGCAUAAAAUCAAUUUAUGGCAUCAUAGAAUGAUCAAAUAUUUAUAGGAACAAGAUGGGCAUGCGGAACAUUAGCUAGUUGGUAAGGUAACGGCUUACCAAGGCUACGAUGUUUAGGGGAUCUGAGAGGAUGACCCCCCACACUGGUACUGAGACACGGACCAGACUCCUACGGGAGGCAGCAGUAAGGAAUAUUGGUCAAUGGACGCAAGUCUGAACCAGCCAUGCCGCGUGCAGGAAGACGGCCCUACGGGUUGUAAACUGCUUUUGUACCGGAAUAAACCUUUUCACGUGUGAGAAGCUGAAUGUACGGUAAGAAUAAGGAUCGGCUAACUCCGUGCCAGCAGCCGCGGUAAUACGGAGGAUCCAAGCGUUAUCCGGAUUUAUUGGGUUUAAAGGGUGCGUAGGUGGCCUAUUAAGUCAGGGGUGAAAGACGGUAGCUUAACUAUCGCAGUGCCUUUGAUACUGAUGGGCUUGAAUACACUUGAGGUAGGCGGAAUGUGACAAGUAGCGGUGAAAUGCAUAGAUAUGUCACAGAACACCAAUUGCGAAGGCAGCUUACUAAAGUGUUAUUGACACUGAGGCACGAAAGCGUGGGGAUCAAACAGGAUUAGAUACCCUGGUAGUCCACGCCCUAAACGAUGAAUACUCGAUGUUGGCGAUAUACGGUCAGCGUCUAAGCGAAAGCGUUAAGUAUUCCACCUGGGGAGUACGCCCGCAAGGGUGAAACUCAAAGGAAUUGACGGGGGCCCGCACAAGCGGAGGAGCAUGUGGUUUAAUUCGAUGAUACGCGAGGAACCUUACCCGGGCUUGAAAGUUAGUGAAUGUGACAGAGACGUCACAGUCCUUCGGGACACGAAACUAGGUGCUGCAUGGCUGUCGUCAGCUCGUGCCGUGAGGUGUUGGGUUAAGUCCCGCAACGAGCGCAACCCCUAUGUUUAGUUGCCAGCAUGUAAUGAUGGGGACUCUAAACAGACUGCCUAUGCAAAUAGAGAGGAAGGAGGGGACGACGUCAAGUCAUCAUGGCCCUUACGUCCGGGGCUACACACGUGCUACAAUGGAUGGUACAGCGGGCAGCUACCUGGCAACAGGAUGCCAAUCUCGUAAAGCCAUUCACAGUUCGGAUCGGGGUCUGCAACUCGACCCCGUGAAGUUGGAUUCGCUAGUAAUCGCGUAUCAGCAAUGACGC
rnacentral:rRNA from 1 species